UUAGAAGGCUCAACCGAGAGUAUGGCUACUCUUAAGGAGAUCUUGAUGAGGCGGUGGGCAUUGAGUGAGCGGUACCUUGGUCUGCCAACACUGGUUGGUCGAUCAAAAGAUGCUACUUUUAAGUAUGUCACAGAAAGCUCCAAGGUCAAGGUGACAGGAAGGAAGGGACAUGGUCUGUCCAAGGCCGCCAGAGAAGUUCUUGUCAAAUCGGGAUUACAAUCGACACCGACUUUUACCAUGAGUUGCUUUCACCUCACAAAGAAGAUAUGCCGGAACCUGGCAUCCAUCUCUUCAAAAUUC
rnacentral:rRNA from 1 species